rnacentral:rRNA from 1 species
AUUGAACGCUGGCGGCAGGCCUAAUACAUGCAAGUCGAACGGUAACAUAAGAAAAGCUUGCUUUUCUUGAUGACGAGUGGCGGACGGGUGAGUAAUAUUUGGGAAACUACCUGAUAGAGGGGGACAACAGUUGGAAACGACUGCUAAUACCGCAUACAGCCUCAGGGUGAAAGAAGCGAUUCGCUAUCAGAUGUGCCCAAACGGGAUUAGCUAGUAGGUGAGGUAAAGGCUCACCUAGGCGACGAUCUCUAGCUGGUCUGAGAGGAUGAUCAGCACAUGGGGACUGGGACACGGCCCAGACUCCUACGUGAGGAAGGAGUAGGGAAUAUUGCACAAUGGAGGAAACUCUGAUGCAGCCAUGCCGGGUGUGUGAAGAAGGCCUUCGGGUUGUAAAGCACUUUCGGAGGGGAGGAAGAAAAUGACGUUACCCUCAGAAGAAGCACCGGCUAACUCCGUGCCAGCAGCCGCCGUAA